UACAGGGGGUGCAAACGUUGCUCGGAAUUAUUGGGCGUAAAGAGCGUGUAGGCGGCCAGAAAAGUCCGCUGUGAAAACUCGAGGCUCAACUUCGAGCUGUCGGUGGAAACUUUCUGGCUAGAGUCCGGAAGAGGAGAAUGGAAUUCCUGGUGUAGCGGUGAAAUGCGCAGAUAUCAGGAAGAACACCCGUGGCGAAGGCGGUUCUCUGGGACGGUACUGACGCUGAGACGCGAAAGCGUGGGGAGCGAACAGG
rnacentral:rRNA from 1 species